UAGUGCAGAGGUCCCCAACUACGGUGGCCCAGUAGUGCACAACGCAAUUAAAAAAGCAAGCAUAAACUCACAACACAACGACAUUAAGCCACAACACAACGGAAAUGCUCCUGACCACUAGGGGGCAGUGUUGACAGUUAUUUCCUCGAGACGCCACAAGGUAAGUGAUUGUGUAAUCGAUUUUUAAAUGAACAACGUGUUUUCACUGAAUGUUUUGAUAUCCUGGUAAUCUUAAUGUAUCGAUUCAUGAAUCGAGCAGAAAAUAAAUCAAUAUUAUUUUCGAUUUGGACAGUUUAGUUCUGCUCUAUGCACGGUCACUUCCGCGUUUUUCCUCAGGGGGGCUUGUUUAAAUCCGGUGCUGUGCCGGAAGCCAUUGUUCCUUAAUACGUAGAGCUUUCAAAAUUACAAGAGAAGAUGCUUUUUCAUCUUACAAGAACUUCCCCGGAUUACUGUAAAUUAAUUUCAUCGCACGGAAAAGGGUAUAAAAGGUUUCAAGUUACUUCGACAACUUUAGGAUUGUUUUAAAGGACUGCCAUCCAUACUGUUGCAGCACUGUACCAGACAUCACACUAUUCAGAACUGAGAAUCAGUGCAGUUCCUCCUGUACAGAAUGGAAUGGAGCAGAGCUGGUACAAACCUAGAACAAUGAGAGUCAAGCCAGGUCCUGUCAGUAGGACGGUGGUCCUGUUUGCAAGAGAUUGGUUAAGUCCAUCCCAAGUGUUUUGUGUAAGGCCGGAUCUCUCUGAGGAAGACAGACUGAAAGGUGGACCAUGAAGAGGAGAAACUCAUCGAAGGGCUGCAGAGACUGACGCUG